AUACGGAGGAUCCAAGCGUUAUCCGGAUUUAUUGGGUUUAAAGGGUGCGUAGGCGGACUGGUAAGUCAGCUGUGAAAGUUUGCGGCUUAACCGUAAAAUUGCAGUUGAUACUGUCAGUCUUGAGUGUGCAUGAGGUGGGCGGAAUUUGUGGUGUAGCGGUGAAAUGCUUAGAUAUCACGAGGAACUCCAAUUGCGAAGGCAGCUCACUGGGGCAUAACUGACGCUCAUGCACGAAAGUGCGGGGAUCGAACAGGAUUAGAUACCCUGGUAGUCCGCACAGUAAACGAUGAAUACUUGUUUUCGGCGAUAUAAUGUCGGAGGCAAAGCGAAAGCGAUAAGUAUUCCACCUGGGGAGUACGCCGGCAACGGUGAAACUUAAAGGAAUUGACGGGG
rnacentral:rRNA from 1 species